AAUGACAGCUGCAGAUUGGAUUAGUGGUUGCUAGGGGUUAGGGAUGAAGAGAGGGAAGGAGGGAGGGAGGUGUAGUUAUGAAAGAGUUUUUUGUGGUAAUAAAACUGGUAUUUGAAUUAUGGUGGUGGAUAUACGAAUCUACAUGGCUGAUAAAGCUGCACAGAACUAAACACACACACACAUGCAUAUGAACACAGGUCAAACUGGAGAAAUCAGAAAAAACCUAGAUAAUGUUGUGGGACAAAAUCCCAUAUAUUGGACUAAAGCUGUAAUACUGAUUUGCUCUAUCCUGUCCUGGGUAACUAUGGUCUUGGAAGGUGGCACUUAUAGGCUUUGAUUCCCAAGGCCCAACUCGUGAAUACA